rnacentral:rRNA from 1 species
GAUGAACGCUGACAGCAUGCUUAACACAUGCAAGUCAACCUGAAUGUGGGUUUUUAUCUUGGGUUUGGGUGGCGGACGGGUGAGUAACGCGUAAAGAACUCGCCUCACAGCUAGGGACAACAUUUGGAAACGAAUGCUAAUACCUAAUAUUAUGAUACUAGGGCCUCCUAUAAUUAUGAAAGCUAUAAGCGCUGUGAGAGAGCUUGGCGUCUCAUUAGCUAGUUGGAGAGGUAACGGCUCACCAAGGCGAUGAUGGGUAGCCGGCCUGAGAGGGUGAUCGGCACCAUGGGACUGGGGACAGGGCCAGUACCCUAAGGGGGGGAGACGGGGGGGAAUAUGGGCAAUGGGAGCGAGAGUCUGGUAGAGAAGUUGUGUGUGCGAGAUGGAGUUUUUCGGAAUGUAAAGUGCUUUCAGGUGAGAAGGAGCAAGUGACGGUACCAACAGAAGAAGCAACGGCUAAAUACGUG